rnacentral:misc_RNA from 1 species
GAUGAAGAACGUAGUGAAAUGCGAUAAGUAAUGUGAAUUGCAGAAUUCAGUGAAUCAUCGAAUCUUUGAACGCACAUUGCGCCCUCCGGCAUUCCGGGGGGCAUGCCUGUCCGAGCGUCACGAAAACCCCAUCACACUCGUUGUGGUCAUGGCUGCAGUGAGUCGUCUCCAGCGGAGAGGGUCACGCCGCUGAAAGGAAUGGUGCGGAUGAGUUCCGAUGGCCGAACGUAGUACUUGACAACCGUCGGCCGAUGGGACCCUCCAUCUCGCCCUGACGACGUACCCCCGUCGUACCCCCGAUCAGGUGGACCUCGGAUCAGGUAGGGAUACCCGCUGAACUUAAGCAUAUCAAUAAGCGGAGA